rnacentral:rRNA from 1 species
AGCGAAAUUCCUUGUCGGGUAAGUCGACCCGCACGAAAGGCGUAACGAUUUGGGCACUGUCUCAACAACAGACUCGGUGAAAUUGUAAUUCCGGUGAAGAUGCCGGAUACCUGCGACAGGACGGACAGACCCCAUGGAGCUUUACUGUAGCUUGACAUUGGGUCUUGGUACUACAUGUACAGGAUAGGUGGGAGGCUUUGAAACCAGGACGCCAGUUUUGGCGGAGCCAUCCUUGGGAUACCACCCUUGUAGUACUGGGACUCUAACCAUAGGCCAUG